rnacentral:rRNA from 1 species
ACGAACGCUGGCGGCAUGCCUAACACAUGCAAGUCGAACGAGACCUUCGGGUCUAGUGGCGCACGGGUGCGUAACGCGUGGGAACCUGCCCUUAGGUUCGGAAUAACUCCCCGAAAGGGGUGCUAAUACCGGAUAAUGUCUUCGGACCAAAGAUUUAUCGCCUUCGGAUGGGCCCGCGUUGGAUUAGCUAGUUGGUAGGGUAAAAGCCUACCAAGGCGACGAUCCAUAGCUGGUCUGAGAGGAUGAUCAGCCACACUGGGACUGAGACACGGCCCAGACUCCUACGGGAGGCAGCAGUGGGGAAUAUUGGACAAUGGGCGAAAGCCUGAUCCAGCAAUGCCGCGUGAGUGAUGAAGGCCUUAGGGUUGUAAAGCUCUUUUACCCGGGAUGAUAAUGACAGUACCGGGAGAAUAAGCUCCGGCUAACUCCGUG